GACGAACGCUGGCGGCGUGCUUAACACAUGCGAGUCGAACGGAAAGGCCUCUUUCGGGGGGUACUCGAGUGGCGAACGGGUGAGUAACACGUGAGUAACCUGCCCUUGACUUUGGGAUAACUUCAGGAAACUGGGGCUAAUACCGGAUAGGAGCUCCUGCUGCAUGGUGGGGAUUGGAAAGUUUCGGCGGUUGGGGAUGGACUCGCGGCUUAUCAGCUUGUUGGUGGGGUAGUGGCUUACCAAGGCUUUGACGGGUAGCCGGCCUGAGAGGGUGACCGGCCACAUUGGGACUGAGAUACGGCCCAGACUCCUACGGGAGGCAGCAGUGGGGAAUAUUGCACAAUGGGUGGAAGCCUGAUGCAGCAACGCCGUGUGCGGGAUGACGGCCUUCGGGUUGUAAACCGCUUUCGCUCAUGACGAAGCUUUGUGUGACGGUAGUGGGUAAAGAAGCACCGGCUAACUACGUG
rnacentral:rRNA from 1 species